AUUGAACGCUGGCGGCAGGCCUAACACAUGCAAGUCGAACGAGUGGCGGACGGGUGAGUAAUGUCUGGGAAACUGCCCGAAGGAGGGGGAUAACUACUGGAAACGGUAGCUAAUACCGCAUACCAUCGGAUGUGCCCAGAUGGGAUUGGCUCGUAGGUGGGGUAACGGCUCACCUAGGCGACGAUCCCUAGCUGGGCUGAGAGGCUGACCAGCCACACUGGAACGUAGACACGGUCCAGACUCCUACGGGAGGCAGCAGUGGGGAAUCUUGCACAAUGGGCGCAAGCCUGAUGCAGCCAUGCCGCGUGUAUGAAGAAGGCCUUCGGGUUGUAAAGUACUUUCAGCGAGGAGGCGUUACUCGCCGAAGAAGCACCGGCUAACUCCGUGCCAGCCGCCGCGGUAAUAC
rnacentral:rRNA from 1 species